rnacentral:rRNA from 1 species
AUGAACGCUGGCGGCGUGCCUAACACAUGCAAGUCGAACGGAGUCCAGCCUUUAAGACCUUCGGGUCAAAGAGGGGAAGACUGAGUGGCGGACGGGUGAGUAACACGUGGGCAACCUGGCUCAUAGAGGGGGAUAACAGAGAGAAAUUUCUGCUAAUACCGCAUAAGCACACACUGCCGCAUGGCAGGGGGUGAAAAGAGAAUCGCUAUGAGAUGGACCCGCGUCUGAUUAGCCAGUUGGCAGGGUAAGAGCCUACCAAAGCGACGAUCAGUAGCCGAUCUGAGAGGAUGAACGGCCACAUUGGGACUGAGACACGGCCCAAACUCCUACGGGAGGCAGCAGUGGGGGAUAUUGCACAAUGGGGGGAACCCUGAUGCAGCGACGCCGCGUGAGUGAAGAAGUAUUUCGGUAUGUAAAGCUCUAUCAGCAGGGAAGAUAAUGACAGUACCUGAAUAAGAAGCCCCGGCUAACUACGUG